AACCAGCGGAGGGAUCAUUACCGAGUUGCAAAACUCCCAAACCCACCGUCUAUCUAUCUCGAAGAGUGCCUGCCUCGGCGGGCGGCCCCGGGGAGGGGCCGCGGCCGGCGUGUCCAGCGCCGGCGCCCGCCGGAGGAGGCCCCAAAUUCGUACCAUUAGUGUCCCUCUGAGCCCAAGACAAAUCGUCAAAACUUUCAACAACGGAUCUCUUGGUUCUGGCAUCGAUGAAGAACGCAGCGAAAUGCGAUAAGUAAUGUGAAUUGCAGAAUUCAGUGAAUCAUCGAAUCUUUGAACGCACAUUGCGCCCGCCAGUAUUCUGGCGGGCAUGCCUGUUCGAGCGUCAUUUCGACCCUCGGGUCCCCCCCUCCUUCUUUUUGGAAGGGGGAAGGUCCCGGUGUUGGGGUUGUCUGGGGCACUUUUGCCGCAGCCCCCGAAAUCCAGUGGCGGUCUCGACCGAGACCCCGAGCGCAGUAACACUUCUCGCUCGAGGCGUCCGGCGGGCUUCCGGCCGUAAAAUCCGCGGGCUCUCCAGGGCCCCGUAAACAUCAAGGUGACCUCGGAU
rnacentral:rRNA from 1 species